UACGAAGGGGGCUAGCGUUGCUCGGAAUCACUGGGCGUAAAGCGCACGUAGGCGGAUCUUUAAGUCAGGGGUGAAAUCCUGGAGCUCAACUCCAGAACUGCCUUUGAUACUGAGGAUCUUGAGUCCGGGAGAGGUAAGUGGAACUCCGAGUGUAGAGGUGAAAUUCGUAGAUAUUCGGAAGAACACCAGUGGCGAAGGCGGCUCACUGGCCCGGUACUGACGCUGAGGUGCGAAAGCGUGGGGAGCAAACAGG
rnacentral:rRNA from 1 species